UACGAAGGGGGCUAGCGUUGUUCGGAAUUACUGGGCGUAAAGCGCACGUAGGCGGACAUUUAAGUCAGGGGUGAAAUCCCAGAGCUCAACUCUGGAACUGCCUUUGAUACUGGGUGUCUUGAGUAUGGAAGAGGUGAGUGGAAUUCCGAGUGUAGAGGUGAAAUUCGUAGAUAUUCGCAAGAACACCAGUGGCGAAGGCGGCUCGCUGGCCCGGUACUGACGCUGAGGUGCGAAAGCGUGGGGAGCAAACAGG
rnacentral:rRNA from 1 species